AAAAAAAAAAAAAACGAAGGCACUAAGCUUCUCUAAAAAUAUUUUCCACAUUCAAAGUAAAAAAAAAAAAAAAAAGUUAUAAAUUCAGACAUUUUUCAAUUUCUCCUUCUUUUCUAAAUGUUAUGUGUCAGGAGAAAGAAUCAAGCUUUAAGCUUUUGUUUUUGUUCUGUUUUGUUUCUGGAAGAUCAUUCAGUUUGGAAACUUAAAAAAAAAAAAAAAAAAAAAAAAAAAAACGAAAAGAAAAAUCACUUAACAUGAAGUCAGUUGUAGGGCAGAAGUUUAUGACCUCAGUGAUUCAGUCGAUACGCCGGUGUUAGCGGGUUAGCGUUAGCACUAGGGUGGACAUACACGUAUAGAUCUCCGUGAUUGGUUCAUGGCCUCGGCCGAUGUGUCAGCUGAAGGUAAAGGGGUAAAGACUGCAUUAACGGAAUGGAAGUGGAUAUUGAUUAGCCCAGCUGCGAGAUUGCUCACAUGGAUAAUUGGUUAAUUAAGUAGGUGAUUGUUCACAAUAAUUAGCCAUCUUAGGAUAUUGUGUGUAAUGAACAAUAUUGGAGUGUCCAUAUUGGUGCAGGUCACUGGGGGAUGAAGCGAUCUCCCUACGGACGAGUGAUCGAUGGAGGUGCUACCACACUCCAAAUCAGCCUCUCUCUCUCUCUCUCUCUUUCCACACACACACACACACACACACACACACAGAGCACGUACGAUGAAGUUCAAAUACUAUUCACAUGUCCACAAGACGUCUGUAUUGAAAGGUCCAUUGUGAACAAGUUCCCAUGUUCAGGUUCAGGAAAAUGUAUAGAGUUCUUUUGGGAUUUUAUUCAAAUAAAUACGUUUUAAAUUCCAUUAAUUUAUACAUUAGAUUCAAUAAUAGUCAACAACGAGUCAGUUAGGAUUUAAACCAAACUGUUGAAAUAAAAAUAAACUAAUAAUUCCUCCAUGAAGAAAAGUUAAAGACAGAUUUUAUCGUGAAGGAAGGAAGGAAGGAAGAAAGAAAGAAAGAAAGAAAGAAAGAAAGAAAGAAAGAAAGAAAGAAAGAAAGAAAAACAAAUAAUCCAAGUUAGGAUAAUAAAACCUUACUGUUAGUCAGUCAGUCAGUAAACAAACAAUCAAAUAAAUAAAGAAAAAAAGUCAGCAAUGAAAGAAAAAAGAAAGAAAGAACGGCAAAUUUUAAAUGAAUCCAAGUAUAGGAUAAUGAACCCUUACUGUAAGAAAGUAAUUAAGUAGGUAAAGGAAGAAAGGAAGGAAGGAAGGAAGAAGGCAGACAAGAAAUAAUUACUGUAGAUAGACAGACAGACAGACAGACAGACAGAUAGACAGACAGACAGACAGACAGACAGACAGACAGAUUCGUUAAGUUUAAGAAAGAAAGAUUUUUACUUUAAUCCCAGGUACGAUGAGAGAACUCUAAACAAAUAAAAUUUUUAUUUUAUUUUUUUUUCCUCAUUUAUUUAUAUUUAUUUUUGUAUAUAUUAUUUUCAUUUUUUAGAAUAGUUAAGUUAAAGAAAGUUUUUUUUUCUUGAAUCCCAGGUACUAUGAGAUAACUAUAAACAAACAAACAAACAGAUAAAGAUUUUUAUGUGCCUUUUGUUGCCCCCGUCCCAACUCUUUUGAGACGUGUUGCGGCCAUCAAAUUCCAAAUCACCUCAUAUUCUCCUUAAAAUAUUACACACAUCCAUUUUGUAUUAGACAUGGCCCAGAGAUGAGUGUGUGCAGUUUAGAGUGAUGAGAAUGUCGUGUCUUUUCAGCGAGUCAGUUCAUCUGACUCAGCUCACCAAGAAGAGUCGACUCUUUUGGUUCCAAAAAUGACUCGGUUUAAACGUUUGAUGUGUUUUCUGUGUUCAGUUGUGACUAACAUCUGGGUUUAUGAGAUUUGCAAGUCAUUGCAUUCUGUUUUUAUUGACAAUUUACAGCGUGUCCCGACUUUUUUUGGAAUCGGGGUUGUAAAUAAAUAAAUAAAUAAAUAAAUAAAUAAGUCAAGAAUAAAAGAGAAAAAAGAAAGAAAGAAAGAAAGAAAUGUAGAUUUUGGAAACCAUGAAUCCUGAAUUUCCAUGAAUCCUGGGUAGCGUACAAAAACCAUCACAAAAAAGAAAGAAAGAAAAAAUGAAAGAAAGAAAAUGACUAUUUGUUUGUUUGUUUGUUUGUUUUUCUCCUUAAUAAGAGAGAUCAUUUUAAUUUUCCGUAUAUUCAGUGGUAAGAACACACGGUGUGGAGUGAUGUAUAAAAUUUGAAUAAAAUCAAAGCCUCAUUAAUAUUCAUAAACUUUAAAACACUGAGUAUAAAGUUAAUUAAAAUGUAAGCGCUUUUUAAAAGAAUAUAUUUGAAACUUUACUUGAUAUUUGAAACUAUACUUUCAGCGCAUUUCAUUGUGUAUUUUUGCAUGUAUUAAAUUUGACGUAUUUUAAAGCACUUAAUUUAUAUUUUUUCAUGCGUUUGUUAAAUUUCCUGCUCAGACUGGGUCUAGUUCCUUUCUUACUUUUAAUGAUUAAUGGAAAGAAUUGCAUCACUUGCAGUUGGAGUGUGUGUGUGUGUGUGUGUGUGUGUGUGUGUGUGUGUUGUGUGUUUUAGUGUAAGCAGAGAUGGCGGGUCAGGAGAAAAGCACCGUUACGGUGUUGAAGACGGGAGAGUCGAGAGGAACAGAUGUCAACCAUGCAGCAAUUACAGCACAUGCCACAGUGUGUCAUUGCCUGCCUGAGGUCCAACUCUCUCUCUCUCUCUCUCUCUCUCUCUCUCUCUCACACACACACACACACACACACACACACACACACACACACACACACACACACACACCGCUGUAUCAGUAACCACCUGCAUAAUGAUGUGGACUGUUGGAUAGAGACCGAGAUUUUGAUCUUUCCCUCGAGAAUGACUGACCUCUGACAUGCGUGUGUGUGUGUGUGUGUGUGUGUGUGUGUGUGAAAAAGAGAGAGAGAGAGAGAAAGAGUGAGAAAUAAAAUGAGAACAAGUUCCCACACUAGCAGCCCAGGUUACACACUGCACCUGACACACAAAGGUCACCAGAGGUCAAGGGUCAUAGUAGUAAACCACACACACACACACACACACACACACACACACACACACACACACACACACACAAUAUGAAAAACAAGUUAUCUGUCAGUGAGAGUACCCCUACACACAAUCUCUCACAAAAACGCCACAGGUGUGUGCGUGUGUGUGUGUGUGUGUGUGUGUG